CCUACGGGAGGCAGCAGUAGGGAAUCUUCCACAAUGGGCGAAAGCCUGAUGGAGCAACGCCGCGUGGGUGAAGAAGGUCUUCGGAUCGUAAAACCCUGUUGUUAGAGAAGAAAGUGCGUGAGAGUAACUGUUCACGUUUCGACGGUAUCUAACCAGAAAGCCACGGCUAACUACGUGCCAGCAGCCGCGGUAAUACGUAGGGGGCAAGCGUUAUCCGGAUUUAUUGGGCGAAAAGGGAACGCAGGCGGUCUUUUAAGUCUGAUGUGAAAGCCUUCGGCUUAACCGGGGUAGGGCAUUGGAAACUGGGAGACUUGGGUGCAGAAGAGGAGAGUGAAACUCUAGGGGUAGCGGGGAAAUGCGUAGAUAUAUGGAAGAACACCAGUGGCGAAAGCGGCGUUCGGGUCUGUAACUGACGCUGAGGUUCGAAAGCGUGGGUAGCAAACAGGAUUGAUACCCGAGUAGUC
rnacentral:rRNA from 1 species